AGAGGUCUCAAGCGUUGUUCGGAUUCAUUGGGCGUAAAGGGUGUGUAGGCGGCGCGGUAAGUCGGGUGUGAAAUCUUGGAGCUUAACUCCGAAACUGCAUUCGAUACUGCCGUGCUUGAGGACUGGAGAGGAGACUGGAAUUUACGGUGUAGCGGUGAAAUGCGUAGAUAUCGUAAGGAAGACCAGUGGCGAAGGCGGGUCUCUGGACAGUUCCUGACGCUGAGGCACGAAGGUCAGGGGAGCAAACGGGAUUAGAUACCCCGGUAGUCCUGACAGUAAACGGUGCACGUUUGGUGUGGAGGGAUUCGACCCCUUCUGCGCCGGAGCUAACGCGUUAAACGUGCCGCCUGGGGAGUACGGUCGCAAGAUUA
rnacentral:rRNA from 1 species